rnacentral:tRNA from 3 species
AGCUCCGAGGUGUUUUCAUAUCAGAUUGCAAAUCUGAAGAAGUAAGCUAGCGUUUACCGGGGCUU